rnacentral:rRNA from 1 species
GACGAACGCUGGCGGUGUGCUUAACACAUGCAAGUCGAACGGAAAGGCCCUGCUUUUGUGGGGUGCUCGAGUGGCGAACGGGUGAGUAACACGUGAGUAACCUGCCCUUGACUUUGGGAUAACUUCAGGAAACUGGGGCUAAUACCGGAUAGGGGCUCCUGCUGCAUGGUGGGGGUUGGAAAGUUUCGGCGGUUGGGGAUGGACUCGCGGCUUAUCAGCUUGUUGGUGGGGUAGUGGCUUACCAAGGCUUUGACGGGUAGCCGGCCUGAGAGGGUGACCGGCCACAUUGGGACUGAGAUACGGCCCAGACUCCUACGGGAGGCAGCAGUGGGGAAUAUUGCACAAUGGGCGGAAGCCUGAUGCAGCAACGCCGCGUGCGGGAUGACGGCCUUCGGGUUGUAAACCGCUUUCGCCUGUGACGAAGCGUGAGUGACGGUAAUGGGUAAAGAAGCACCGGCUAACUACGUG